UUUGAUCCUGGCUCAGGAUGAACGCUGGCGGCGUGCCUAAUACAUGCAAGUCGAGCGAACGGACGAGAAGCUUGCUUCUCUGAUGUUAGCGGCGGACGGGUGAGUAACACGUGGAUAACCUACCUAUAAGACUGGGAUAACUUCGGGAAACCGGAGCUAAUACCGGAUAAUAUUUUGAACCGCAUGGUUCAAAAGUGAAAGACGGUCUUGCUGUCACUUAUAGAUGGAUCCGCGCUGCAUUAGCUAGUUGGUAAGGUAACGGCUUACCAAGGCAACGAUGCAUAGCCGACCUGAGAGGGUGAUCGGCCACACUGGAACUGAGACACGGUCCAGACUCCUACGGGAGGCAGCAGUAGGGAAUCUUCCGCAAUGGGCGAAAGCCUGACGGAGCAACGCCGCGUGAGUGAUGAAGGUCUUCGGAUCGUAAAACUCUGUUAUUAGGGAAGAACAUAUGUGUAAGUAACUGUGCACAUCUUGACGGUACCUAAUCAGAAAGCCACGGCUAACUACGUGCCAGCAGCCGCGGUAAUACGUAGGUGGCAAGCGUUAUCCGGAAUUAUUGGGCGUAAAGCGCGCGUAGGCGGUUUUUUAAGUCUGAUGUGAAAGCCCACGGCUCAACCGUGGAGGGUCAUUGGAAACUGGAAAACUUGAGUGCAGAAGAGGAAAGUGGAAUUCCAUGUGUAGCGGUGAAAUGCGCAGAGAUAUGGAGGAACACCAGUGGCGAAGGCGACUUUCUGGUCUGUAACUGACGCUGAUGUGCGAAAGCGUGGGGAUCAAACAGGAUUAGAUACCCUGGUAGUCCACGCCGUAAACGAUGAGUGCUAAGUGUUAGGGGGUUUCCGCCCCUUAGUGCUGCAGCUAACGCAUUAAGCACUCCGCCUGGGGAGUACGACCGCAAGGUUGAAACUCAAAGGAAUUGACGGGGACCCGCACAAGCGGUGGAGCAUGUGGUUUAAUUCGAAGCAACGCGAAGAACCUUACCAAAUCUUGACAUCCUUUGACAACUCUAGAGAUAGAGCCUUCCCCUUCGGGGGACAAAGUGACAGGUGGUGCAUGGUUGUCGUCAGCUCGUGUCGUGAGAUGUUGGGUUAAGUCCCGCAACGAGCGCAACCCUUAAGCUUAGUUGCCAUCAUUAAGUUGGGCACUCUAAGUUGACUGCCGGUGACAAACCGGAGGAAGGUGGGGAUGACGUCAAAUCCCAUCAUGCCCCUUAUGAUUUGGGCUACACACGUGCUACAAUGGACAAUACAAAGGGCAGCGAAACCGCGAGGUCAAGCAAAUCCCAUAAAGUUGUUCUCAGUUCGGAUUGUAGUCUGCAACUCGACUACAUGAAGC
rnacentral:rRNA from 1 species